UACGGAGGGUGCGAGCGUUGUCCGGAAUCACUGGGCGUAAAGGGCGCGUAGGCGGAUGGUACAGUCAGAUGUGAAAUUCCCGGGCUUAACCUGGGGGCUGCAUUUGAUACGUGCGAUCUGGAGUGAGGAAGAGGGUCGUGGAAUUCCCAGUGUAGAGGUGAAAUUCGUAGAUAUUGGGAAGAACACCGGUGGCGAAGGCGGCGACCUGGUCCUUGACUGACGCUGAGGCGCGAAAGCGUGGGGAGCAAACAGG
rnacentral:rRNA from 1 species